rnacentral:rRNA from 1 species
GACAGAGGUGCCAAGCGUUGUUCGGAUUCAUUGGGCGUAAAGGGUGUGUAGGUGGCGCCGUAAGUCGGGUGUGAAAUUUCGGAGCUUAACUCCGAAACUGCAUUCGAUACUGCGGUGCUUGAGGACUGGAGAGGAGACUGGAAUUCAUGGUGUAGCAGUGAAAUGCGUAGAGAUCAUGAGGAAGACCAGUGGCGAAGGCGGGUCUCUGGACAGUUCCUGACACUGAGACACGAAGGCCAGGGGAGCAAACGGG